rnacentral:piRNA from 1 species
UUUCUAGAUUGUUAAAACUUCAAAGAACGGA